ACGAACGCUGGCGGCGUGCUUAACACAUGCAAGUCGAGCGGAAAGGCCCUUUCGGGGGUACUCGAGCGGCGAACGGGUGAGUAACACGUGAGUAAUCUGCCCUUCACUUGGGGAUAACUACCGGAAACGGUGGCUAAUACCCGAUACGACCAACCUCCGCAUGGGGUGUUGGUGGAAAGUUUUUUCGGUGGAGGAUGUGCUCGCGGCCUAUCAGCUUGUUGGUGGGGUAAUGGCCUACCAAGGCUUCGACGGGUAGCCGGCCUGAGAGGGUGACCGGCCACACUGGGACUGAGACACGGCCCAGACUCCUACGGGAGGCGGCAGUGGGGAAUAUUGGACAAUGGGCGGAAGCCUGAUCCAGCAACGCCGCGUGAGGGAUGACGGCCUUCGGGUUGUAAACCUCUUUCAGCGGGGACGAAGCGCCGAUGAUGGUGGUGACGGUACCCGCAGAAGAAGCACCGGCCAACUACGU
rnacentral:rRNA from 1 species